rnacentral:rRNA from 1 species
AAUCAACGCUGGCGGCGUGCCUCAGACAUGCAAGUCGAACGCGAAAGUUUCCUUCGGGGAACAAGUAGAGUGGCGCACGGGUGAGUAACACGUAGGUAAUCUACCUUUGGAUGGGGAAUAACAACCGGAAACGGUUGCUAAUACCGCAUAAUGCAGCGGCACCUAAUGGUGACAGUUGUUAAAGCGGGGGAUCGAAAGACCUCGCGUCUGAAGAGGAGCCUGCGGCGGAUUAGCAGUUGGUAAGGUAAUGGCUUACCAAGGCUACGAUCCGUAACCGGCCUGAGAGGGGCGGUCGGUCACACUGACACUGACAUACGGGUCAGACUCCUACGGGAGGCAGCAGUCGGGAAUUUUGGGCAAUGGGCGAAAGCCUGACCCAGCAACGCCGCGUGAAGGAU